rnacentral:rRNA from 1 species
UGAACCUGCGGAAGGAUCAUUACCGAGUGAGGGCCCUCUGGGUCCAACCUCCCACCCGUGUUUAUUUUACCUUGUUGCUUCGGCGAGCCUGCCUUUUGGCUGCCGGGGGACGUCUGUCCCCGGGUCCGCGCUCGCCGAAGACACCUUAGAACUCUGUCUGAAGAUUGUAGUCUGAGAUUAAAUAUAAAUUAUUUAAAACUUUCAACAACGGAUCUCUUGGUUCCGGCAUCGAUGAAGAACGCAGCGAAAUGCGAUACGUAAUGUGAAUUGCAGAAUUCAGUGAAUCAUCGAGUCUUUGAACGCACAUUGCGCCCUCUGGUAUUCCGGAGGGCAUGCCUGUCCGAGCGUCAUUGCUGCCCUCAAGCACGGCUUGUGUGUUGGGCUCCGUCCUCCUUCCGGGGGACGGGCCCGAAAGGCAGCGGCGGCACCGCGUCCGGUCCUCAAGCGUAUGGGGCUUUGUCACCCGCUUUGUAGGACUGGCCGGCGCCUGCCGAUCAACCAAACUUUUUUCCAGGUUGACCUCGGAUCAGGUAGGGAUACCCGCUGAACUUAAGCAUAUCAAUAAGCGGAGGAA